AAUAUGAUGGUUGAUUAUAAAUUAUUCCUUAUUUAAUAAUUUGAAAUAUAAAUAUGAAUUAAUUUUUUUGUAAUAUAAAAAUUUGGAUUAGUUAUAUUAUUGGUUUCUAACCUUUGCACCAUUUUUCACUUGAGUCUCCAACCUUUUUUUUUCCAAUCAAAUCUUCAAUCCCUUGAUUUUAUUGCAAUUACGUUCCCGCCGUUAAAAAAGGGAUUAAAAUUAACGGAAUCGCUAUAUCAGCGCCUAUAUGUCUUUCUUUUGCAUGUCAAUUUUGGUCCCUGAACUUUGCAUGUUUUUCACUUUAAUAUCCAUAAAUAAAAAUUCAAAAUUUUCAAUUUAAAUUCAAAAUUAAUAUUAAAAUUAAAACUCAAAACUAAUCAUAAAUUAUAAUUUGAAUUUGAAUUUAAAAUUUAAAUU
rnacentral:lncRNA from 1 species